CAAAGAUAAAAUAAUGAUAUAAUAAGAUAAAAUAAAGAAAAAAGUGAAACAUCAAAUGCAAUAUAAAUUAUUAAAACUAAAAAUUAGGUAUUAGAAUCUUUUGUCUUAAAUGGGUAGCAUGGAGGUGAUGCUUGCUUGAUUUUGUGUUGCGUUUUUUUCCAUUUUUCUAAAAUUACAUCCAUGAUGAUGGCAGAUCGAUGGCUAGCUUCUCACUCAGUAUUUAUUCUUUGUACUUGGCUUUUAUUAUUUCUAUGGACUCUGUUAAGAAUGCUUCGGAUUGUAUGACUAGCGGCUUUAUUAUUCUUGCAUUUUUCCAGUCUAUUUGCAGAUCACUGCUGAAUGCUUCUGUGCCAAGAGCAGUGGAUAACUUUCCAUUAGCUAUGUCUUUCUUAUAUUCAUAUAUUCACUAUUGUAAAGUUUUGGUGAUUAUUCCUAUGUACACUGUGUAUUACUGGUUGUUAUUAAACAUGGCCAGAAUUUUAUAAACGCCUGACUUUUGCCAGUUGUUCUUUCUCUUUUUUUUCAUUUUUGAGUCUGUCAAAUACAGUGGAUGCCCUAAAAUAUGCUGGUUUUUUCCUUGCUUUUUUCAUCAAGUUUUUGAUGGAGUUGAACUUUGCCAGAGAAUAAAGGGAGAUGAUGAUGUUUAUUGAUGCCACUUAGGUUUGGGCCAGGUGCACUAUUGGGUUCUUCUGAAAAGUAUCCACACUAAAGUUGAGCAAGCUCUAAAAGAAGUUUUAAUAUAUUUUUUCAACAUUUAAAGUUAAAAUAAAAAGUUUCAUUUUAACGUAAUCUCACUUGUACAUAAUUUUUAUUAACUCCCUUC
rnacentral:lncRNA from 1 species